AUUGAACGCUGGCGGCAGGCCUAACACAUGCAAGUCGAGCGGGAACUUCGGUUCUAGCGGCGGACGGGUGAGUAAUGCGUAGGAAGCUACCCGACAGAGGGGGAUACCAGUUGGAAACGACUGUUAAUACCGCAUAAUGUCUACGGACCAAAGUGUGGGACCUUCGGGCCACAUGCUGUCGGAUGCGCCUACGUGGGAUUAGCUAGUUGGUGAGGUAAUGGCUCACCAAGGCGACGAUCCCUAGCUGGUUUGAGAGGGUGAUCAGCCACACUGGGACGGAGACACCGUCCAGACUCCUACGGGAGGCAGCAGUGGGGAAUAUUGGACAAUGGGCGAAAGCCUGAUCCAGCCAUGCCGCGUGUGUGAAGAAGGCCUUCGGGUUGUAAAGCACUUUCAGUAGGGAGGAAGAGUUGAGUGUUAAUAGUACACACCUUUGACGUUACUCGCAGAAGAAGCACCGGCUAACUCUGUGCCAGCCGCCGCCGUAAAAC
rnacentral:rRNA from 1 species